rnacentral:tRNA from 1 species
UGACUUAGCUAAGCAAUAGAUGACUUUUAUGAAAAGUCAAAAGGGGUUUGUUAUCUCUCUAAGUUAG